UGAGUGAGCGGCAUAGCUCAAAUUUGAAAUCUGCCAACAGGCCGAGUUGUAAUUUGAAGAAAGCAUUUUGGAUGUGUCUCUGCUCAAGUUCCUUGGAAUAGGACAUCAUGGAGGGUGAGAAUCCCGUGAUGCGGAGUGUAGCAUAUCUGUGUAAAUUGUUUUCGACGAGUCGAGUUGUUUGGGAAUGCAGCUCAAAGUGGGUGGUAAAUUCCAUCUAAAGCUAAAUAUUGGCGAGAGACCGAUAGCGAACAAGUACUGUGAAGGAAAGAUGAAAAGAACUUUGAAAAGAGAGUGAAAAAGUACGUGAAAUUGUUGAAAUGGAAGGGCUUGAGAUUAGACAUGGUGUUUAGUGUUCCACUUUUCUCUUUGGGAAUGUGUACUCGGCUUAUACUGGGCCCAGGCAUCAGGUUUUUUGGGCGGAAGGAUAAAUGGGUAUUGGAAAUGUGGCUGCUUUGCAAGUGUNAUAGGCUUUUAUCAAGAUACUUCCCAGCCGGGACUGAGGACCGUGCAUUGCUAGGAUGCUGGCGUAAGUGAUCUUUAGCCCACCCGUCUU
rnacentral:rRNA from 1 species